GGACGCAUAGCUCAGCGGGAGAGCGCUCCCUUCACAUGAGAGAGUCCGAGGUUCGAUCCCUUGUGCGCCCACCA
rnacentral:tRNA from 1 species